rnacentral:rRNA from 1 species
AUUGAACGCUGGCGGCAGGCCUAACACAUGCAAGUCGAACGAGUGGCGGACGGGUGAGUAAUGCUUGGGAAUAUAGCUUACGUAGGGGGAUAAAUAGGGGAACAUGUAGCUAAUAGCGCGUACAAUAGGUUGGGCCAAAGUGGGAUUAGGUAGUUGGUGAGGUAAAGGUUCACCAAGCCGACGAGGUCUAGCUGGUCUGAGAGGAAGACCGGCCACACUGGGACUGAGACACGGCCCAGACUCCUACGGUAGGCAGCAGUAGGGAAUAUUGCGAAAUGGAGGCAACCUGACGCAGCCAAGCCGCGUGAAUGAAGAAGUCCUUCGGGGUGUAAAGUUCUUUCGGUAGCGAGGCGUUAACUACAGAGGAAGCACCGGCUAACUCCGUGCCAGCCGCCGCGGUAAUUC